rnacentral:rRNA from 1 species
UACGUAGGUGGCAAGCGUUGUCCGGAUUUAUUGGGCGUAAAGGGAGCGCAGGCGGUGACUUAAGUCUGAUGUGAAAGCCCACGGCUCAACCGUGGAAGGUCAUUGGAAACUGGGGAACUUGAAUGCAGAAGAGGAGAGUGGAAUUCCAUGUGUAGCGGUGAAAUGCGUAGAUAUAUGGAGGAACACCAGUGGCGAAGGCGACUCUCUGGUCUGUUAUUGACGCUGAGGCUCGAAAGCGUGGGGAGCAAACAGGAUUAGAUA